rnacentral:lncRNA from 1 species
UUGAACAACAAACCCAUCAAUCAAAUGGGCAAAUUGGAAGGAUGUUUGCAUUCUCUCUCCAUCCUUGUUUUUGCACAUUGUAAGCACCAUCUCACACAAGCGUUUUACACUGAUUAGGUCCAAUUCUGUUUUUGGUCGCCCUAGGGGGGUUAGAUUGUAUUUUCUCCACAAAUUAAUUUUUUUUACAUUAGAUUAGGGUGAUAUUAGUUUAGUUUGGUCAAGUUUUUAAUUUUUUGAACAGUCCGUCAUAAUUCAUUUCAGCUUAGUUUCUUUCUCAUUUUUUUUUAUUAAUUUUUUAUUUUGAUUUUUUAGACUUAUUUUGAUAAAAUAAACUUUAUUUUAUAACUUUUAAAUAUUAUUUGACAAAAUUUUAUGAUCUUUUUCAUAAAUACUUUUAGAAAACAAUAAAUUUUCAAUAACUUUUAAAUUAUUUUCACUAAGUUAAAUAUAAAAUAUUUAUUUUUAUAUCAUAAAAAUAUAAAAAUUAAUUAUAUAUUAAAUAAAAAUAGAAUUUAGGGUAAUCACAAAUUUUUAACUUACAUUUCAUUAACCAUCCAAAUAUCUCGAUUCGGGAUGAUUUUUGAUUUUGUUGGUUUUUUACUCAACCCUAUAUUAGAUUAAAGAAUAAACUUAUUUUGUCGUGUAUCGCAUACUAACGUAUAAGGGCCAGUUUUUAAUAGUAAAAAUUGAUGAAUUUUUUAAUAAAAUGACUAAUUUACUCUUUAAUCUUUCGUAUAGAGACUUAUUUGUCAUUUUUUUAGUAAAAAGAGCUAAAUACAUUCCAACUUCUAGUAUAAAUAUCUUCUUCAUACUUUUACUCUGCUUUUAACAAUGGCAAUUUUGAAUAUUGAGUAGAUUUUUCCUAAAAACAUCGCUUCUAACUCAUUAUUCUAACAUAAAAUUUCCUCUUAUUUUUUGCAGCUUAAUCAAUAAAAGGUUGACGUUUUCUGUUAAAAUGUGAAUUUGCAGGGGAGAAAUUACCGAGCAACUUGUCGAGAUCAGUGGUUGUUUUGUGGGUGUUUGUAGUGUUCAUUGGGAUAGAAUUACACCGCCACUUUGACGUCAAUGACGGUCCGACAGAUUGAAUUCAAC